AUUGAACGCUGGCGGCAGGCUUAACACAUGCAAGUCGAGCGAGCGGCGGACGGGUGAGUAAUGUCUGGGAACCUGCCUGCUGGAGGGGGAUAACUACUGGAAACGGUAGCUAAUACCGCAUACCAUCGGAUGUGCCCAGAUGGGAUUAGCUAGUAGGUGGGGUAAAGGGUCACCUAGGCGACGAUCCCUAGCUGGUCUGAGAGGAUGACCGGCCACACUGGAACUGAGACACGGUCCAGACGCCUACGGGAGGAAGCAGGGGGGAAUAUUGCACAAUGGGCGCAAGCGUGAUGCAGCCAUGCCGCGUGGGUGAAGAAGGCCUGCGGGUUGUCAAGUACUUUCAGCGAGGAGGCGUUACUCGCAGAAGAAGCACCGGCUAACUACGUGCCAGCAGCCGCGGUAAUUC
rnacentral:rRNA from 1 species